UACGUAGGGUGCGAGCGUUAAUCGGAAUUACUGGGCGUAAAGCGUGCGCAGGCGGUUCGUUGUGUCGGCGGUGAAGGCCCCGGGCUUAACCUGGGAGUGGCCGUUGAAACUGGCGAACUGGAGUGUGGCAGAGGGGGGUGGAAUUCCGCGUGUAGCAGUGAAAUGCGUAGAGAUGCGGAGGAACACCGAUGGCGAAGGCAGCCCCCUGGGCUAACACUGACGCUCAGGCACGAAAGCGUGGGGAGCAAACAGG
rnacentral:rRNA from 1 species